rnacentral:rRNA from 1 species
GGAAGUAAAAAAGCGUAACAAGGUUUCCGUAGGUGAACCUGCGGAAGGAUCAUUAUCAAAACAGCGGACUUCGGUCCUUGCUGCACCCUUGUCUUUUGCGUACCGUAUGUUUCCUCGGCGGGCUUGCCUGCCGGUUGGACAUUAUCAAACCUUUUUGUAGUUGCAAUCAGCGUCAGAAAAUAAACAAUAAUUACAACUUUCAACAACGGAUCUCUUGGUUCUGGCAUCGAUGAAGAACGCAGCGAAAUGCGAAAAGUAGUGUGAAUUGCAGAAUUCAGUGAAUCAUCGAAUCUUUGAACGCACAUUGCGCCCCUUGGUAUUCCAUGGGGCAUGCCUGUUCGAGCGUCAUUUUGUACCCUCAAGCACUGCUUGGUGUUGGGCGUUUGUCCUGCAAAGGACUCGCCUGAAAGCGAUUGGCGGCCAACGUACUGGUGGUAGAGCGCAGCACAAUUUGCGUCUCUCCCUUCUACGUCGGCGUCCAUGAAGCCUUUUUUCAACGUUGACCUCGGAUCAGGUAG